CUCGAAGAAGAAGACACGCUUUAUCCAAUGACGGUGAAGAUAUCGUCGACACUAUUCGUCUGUGGACAUAUCUUAGAGAUAUUACACCAGAUGACCAUGUUUACCAUGAAUGCUGGCAGCUAGCUAGUCAUUCAUGUUCUUCUGAUAAUAUGCCGAGAAGACACAUAGGCCAUCAGUGUUUGUGUUGUAUGUGGACAACCCAUACUAAGAAUCAGGCAAUGCAGAAUUUUGAUUGAAGAAGAACAAAGAACGGCAUACACAAUUGCUACUUGGAUCUAACCACGACAGCUUCAUCCUGAAGAUAAAGCUUGUGUGCGGUGUUGGUUAAGAGUGAGAAUUAAGGAUACUUCACUAAAUGAAGAUAUUCAAUCCAUUGAACCUAAUCAGCAGAAAAGUGAUAACUCUGAACUGAUGUGUGCUGCAUGUGGUCAAAGUCUUACUCCCAACAACACUGCUUGUUUGUUGGAGCACCAGCAGACCAAGACUGGGGCCAAGUAUGCAAUUUGAACUUCUAUGUUCCAGAUGGUCUAUGUUGCUUCAAGCUAAAAUAAAGUCCUGCCACUCUUCUCCUAGAACUUAUUUUGUUUUCAUAGUUGCAGAAACAAAUAUGAAUAGCCGGGACACCAUCAAAAGUGAUUGCUGUAAUUGUAUUGUAGGUUUAAGAACAGUGGGAUGCUGCUCACAUGUUAUGAGCAUUCUUUGGUAUUUGAGUUAUGCUUGCCAUGAGGGUAUGACCCGACCUGCCCCUUUCUUGGAUGAAGUAAUAUUAAGAACCAAUCAAGUAAUUAUAAGAAAAUAAAGUAAAUGAAAUUCCUACAAAAA